CCCUUAGAUGUUCUGGGCCGCACGCGCGCUACACUGACUGGUGCAACAAGUGUCGCUCCUUGGCCGAUAGGCCUGGGCAAUCUUUGAACGCCAGUCGUGAUGGGGAUAGACUUUUGCAAUUUUUGGUCUUCAACGAGGAAUUCCUAGUAAACGCAAGUCAUCAACUUGCAUUGAUUACGUCCCUGCCCUUUGUACACACCGCCCGUCGCACCUACCGAUUGAAUGGUCCGGUGAAGCCUCCGGAUUGGCGCGCACCUCGGUGCCGCCGAGAAGUUGGCUAAACCUUACCAUUUAGAGGAAGGUGAAGUCGUAACA
rnacentral:rRNA from 1 species